GACAGAGGGUGCAAGCGUUGUUCGGAAUCAUUGGGCGUAAAGCGCACGUAGGCGGUCUUGUAAGUCAGAUGUGAAAGCCCUGGGCUUAACCCAGGAAGUGCAUCUGAUACUGCAAGACUUGAGUCCCGGAGAGGGUGGUGGAAUUCCUGGUGUAGAGGUGAAAUUCGUAGAUAUCAGGAGGAACACCGGUGGCGAAGGCGACCACCUGGACGGAGACUGACGCUGAGGUGCGAAAGCGUGGGGAGCAAACAGG
rnacentral:rRNA from 1 species